rnacentral:tRNA from 1 species
GGCCUGAUAGUUCAGUGGUAGAAUUCUUGCUUUGGGUUAAUCAAUCUAAGUUGUAAGAGGUCUCCGGUUCGAUCCCGGAUUAGGCCC